GACGAAGGGGGCUAGCGUUGUUCGGAAUUACUGGGCGUAAAGCGCGUGUAGGCGGUUGCCCAAGUCGGGGGUGAAAGCCUUGAGCUCAACUCAAGAAAUGCACUCGGUACUGGGUGACUAGAGGACCGGAGAGGAUAGUGGAAUUCCCAGUGUAGUGGUGAAAUACGUAGAGAUUGGGAAGAACACCAGUGGCGAAGGCGGCUAUCUGGACGGUUUCUGACGCUAAGACGCGAAAGCGUGGGGAGCAAACAGG
rnacentral:rRNA from 1 species